rnacentral:rRNA from 1 species
CCUACGGGCGGCAGCAGUCGAGAAUCAUUCACAAUGGGGGAAACCCUGAUGGUGCGACGCCGCGUGGGGGAAUGAAGGUCUUCGGAUUGUAAACCCCUGUCAUGUGGGAGCAAAUUAAAAAGAUAGUACCACAAGAGGAAGAGACGGCUAACUCUGUGCCAGCAGCCGCGGUAAUACAGAGGUCUCAAGCGUUUUUCGGAAUCACAGGGCUAAAAGCGUGCGUAGGCUGUUUCGUAAGUCGUGUGUGAAAGGCGCGGGCUCAACCCGCGGACGGCACAUGAUACUGCGAGACUAGAGUAAUGGAGGGGGAACCGGAAUGCUGGGUGUAGCAGUGAAAUGCGUAGAUAUCGAGAGGAACACUCGUGGCGAAGGCGGGUUCCUGGACAUUAACUGACGCUGAGGCACGAAGCGUGGGGAGCAAACAGGAUUAGAAACCCGUGUAGUC